UAAAUAUAUGCUGAUUUGAUAACAGCAAAGACAACGUUGGCAGAAUAGACGGCAAAAUAGGCUACAGAAUAUUUCUUUCUGUAUUGACAGGGACAU